GCUGGCGGCGGCCUACACAUGCAAGUCGAGCGGUAGAGAGGAGCUUGCUCCUCUUGAGAGCGGCGGACGGGUGAGUAAUGCCUAGGAAUCUGCCUGGUAGUGGGGGAUAACGUUCGGAGACGGACGCUAAUACCGCAUACGUCCUACGGGAGAAAGCAGGGGACCUUCGGGCCUUGCGCUAUCAGAUGAGCCUAGGUCGGAUUAGCUAGUUGGUGAGGUAAUGGCUCACCAAGGCGACGAUCCGUAACUGGUCUGAGAGGAUGAUCAGUCACACUGGAACUGAGACACGGUCCAGACUCCUACGGGAGGCAGCAGUGGGGAAUAUUGGACAAUGGGCGAAAGCCUGAUCCAGCCAUGCCGCGUGUGUGAAGAAGGUCUUCGGAUUGUAAAGCACUUUAAGUUGGGAGGAAGGGCAGUAAAUUAAUACUUUGCUGUUUUGACGUUACCGACAGAAUAAGCACCGGCUAACUCUGUGCCAGCAGCCGCGGUAAUACAGAGGGUGCAAGCGUUAAUCGGAAUUACUGGGCGUAAAGCGCGCGUANGUGGUUUGUUAAGUUGGAUGUGAAAUCCCCGGGCUCAACC
rnacentral:rRNA from 1 species